rnacentral:ncRNA from 2 species
GAGAUGCAACAGGGGCGUCCGCUACGCGCGGGCUGAGAAGCACCCUUCGAACCUGACCCGGAUCAUACCGGCGGAGGAAGUUGCGGACACGUGUCG